rnacentral:rRNA from 1 species
CUGACUAGUCUCGGAGAGAGUGUUUUCCUUCUGUAGUGACACUUAUUGAAGCCUUUGUGGCCCCGCAAGGGGUCUACACCGCGACUCUAAAUAAUGGAUGUAGUGCCAGAAUGCUUAUACUGGUAUGCAAGUCAGCGCUUUUUUGCUGGCGACACCUUCGAAUUGCGGGGACACCCUAAAGCUCAUAUCUACUAAACUGGUGGGGAAACCUGAUCAGUGGCCUAUGUUAACAGCAUAGGGGAUAGUAAAAAGGAUAUGAGAUUAGCCUCUUUUCCAAGGAGGUUGAAUGGGCAAUCCGCAGCCAAGCCCUACCGCGACUGCCUCUUUGGCAGGCUAUUGGGAAAGGUUCACAGACUAAGUGGAGGUGGGCAAACUCAUGGUUUGCUUAAGAUAUAGUCGGGCCCUUUGGGAAACCUUAGGGGGCAAGUCACAAACCGUUCCGUAGGUGAACCUGCGGAAGGAUCAUUA